CUUACUCGGAGAAGGGCGUGGCACGGGUCAACCUGCGCGCGUCCGCGGCGAGCUAGUCGGAGAAGGGUGAGGGCGAGUUCUGUUUGCUCUGCAGUCACAGGUUCCGCGGUGGAGGAUCCUACACCGAGUACACGAGGUAAUCACACAAAUCUCAACCUCUAACACGCGAUUCUCUUUCGUGCAACAUCUCCAUAGCGAUAUUUAGUCCGUAGUUCGUAGGUUGUGGGGGCAUUCAACUCGUGUUCCGCGGCGGUGGUGCCUACUGCGAGUAUGCGAGUUAGUGUGACAAAUCUCUGCCUGUAAUGCACGAUUCUCACGAUUCUCUCUUGUACUAGUAAUUCUCAUAGGCAAUCUGUAGUUCUUCAUUUGUAGGCUGUGUCGGAUUCAACUCGUGGUACGUACGAUGUAUUAAGUAGCAAGGUAUGCUCUGUGGAUUUUCUUUGUUGCACAUCUCCUUGUGAUUUAGAAGUCCUCAUAGUGCCAUGAUGAUGCUUGCUCGUAUGUGAUAGAUCAAGUCUACAGUAGCCACUUGCCUCGAACAAGUAGGAAGCUAUGUAGGUAGUAGCAAGGCAUGCAGGAAGUUCUCUAUAGUGCUAAUAUUUUUGGAUUUUUUUUCACGUAUGCCAUGAUAAUCCUUGCUCAUAUGUUGGUACUGAAGGGAUUUUUAGCAUUUACCAUGCUCAUCUCAUGUUCAAACACCAGGAUGGUUCCAUAUGUCGUUGACCUAAAAUUAGUACCAUAUAUAGGUAACAUGUUUUAAAAUGGGGUUGAUAUGGGUGAUAAUUAUGUAGUUGCCCUGUUUGUUCUUUGAUGGCAUGAAAUAAGUUAAUCAUGUAUGCUUAAUGAAGUUGUUUUACCUAUCUUAUUAAGUUGGCUAGUGAAACUGAAGAUGUUGGUUAUAACACUAUGCUUAAGUUGUCUUCUAUAAAAUGUUUGUCCGACACUAUAUUUCACUAAGUUGGUUUCCUGUCAGUAACUAAGUUGGUUCUUGAUUGUGCCUAAGUUGGCUAAUGAAUUUAGUUAUCAUGUUUUUCUCUCAUACCAUGUUGGUCAAAGUUGGUUUACUGGCGGUACCUAAGUUGGUUCUUGAUUGUGCUAGUUGGCUAGUUAACUUAAUUAUCAUGUUUCCUCUCAUACCAUGUUGGUCAAAGUUGGUUUACUCGCAGUACCUAAGUUGGUUCUAGCUUGUGCCUAAGUUAGCUAAUGAACUUAAUUAUCCUGUUUGUCUCUCAUACCAUGUUGGUCAAAGUUGGUUUACUCGCAGUACCUAAGUUCGUUCUAGAUUGUGCCUAAGUGUGCUACUGUCAUCAAUUACUCUAUAUUUGACUCACACCAUGUUGGGCUAAGUUGGUCCUCCUUCAAUACCUAAGUUGGUUCUAGAUUGUAUCUAAGUUGGCUACUGCCAUCAAUUACUAUGUUUUCGACUCAGACCAUGUUGGGCUAAGCUGGUCUCAACUUAGCUCUACUAGGUAUCCCCCAGCUCCACCAGGUAUCUGUUGGAGGCGUCCCCAACAUAGCUCCAGGCGCCUCUGCCCUGACCUCCUCCUCAAGCAGCUCCGGCCGGAAACUUCGACCUCCCGUGUUUUGAAUCACCAGCUCCAGGUAAGGCCGCCCCGCAUCCGGCCAGUGCACCUAGUGCUGCACCAUGCCCUCCCUGUGUGCAGGGAGGAGCAGCUGCAUGCUGUAGCGACUACAUCGGCAUCCAUCGUCAGUAGCAACAUUAGCUUCAGAAACUUCGGUAACAACAGCAAUUUCAGAAAACUACAACGACCUUGCCUUGAUGAACAUACAUAUGCUGGAUUGUUAGGUAAUUUUGUGUCAAUUUGUUUCUACAAAUAGCUCUCAACUUGGAUCUGUGUUGCCAUGACCGUAAUGUUUUGAGUGUGAAACAACUCUUAUGAAUGUUCUCUGUUGCAUGAUGUUGAAUCCAUGGUGAGCUAUACUGAACAUCAUGUUAAGCUCGACAUAGAUGUCUUACUCGUAAGCAGGUUUGACAUGAUUAUUUCACUUUUAACGGGCAAAUGAUGAACUAGUGAGGCUUCUUGAGUGAUUAGUUCAGGCCAGCAACGUAGAUGCAUGCCCCAGGGGAGAAAACAUUAUCCGCUCAUUUGCACUGUAGAAAAUUGCGGUGUCCCUUAUAGCUAGCACUAUGGUGUAUUCACAUGUUUCCCGUUAUUAGUAUUAGUUGAUAAUCAGUACUGAUAGCUGAGUUUUCCGUACAUUGUUUUGUCUAUCAAUAUGAUCUACAGAUAUCACCCGUCCUAUACCAAUUCAGUUGCAAAUGCUGUCCUGUACCAAUUCAGUUGCAAAUGCUGCCAGAUGAUUAUCAUACUUGCAAAGUGUAUAAUGAACCAAGAAACAUUACACAUAAGGAUCUUGUGGUAUAUCACCUGCUUGUGUUUCCCGCAGGGUGAAGUUGUUGUGUGAACAUGUUGCUUUUACUAGUAGGACUUAGUUCGAUUUCAGAUGGAGGUAGAUCAUGGACCCAGCAGAGAUGUGUAGAUGCCCAUGUUCUUAGGUUGGUUAUACAGUCAGUAAUUUUUUGUGUUUGUUUCAUCAUGCAAUCUAGUGAUCCAUGCAUAAUCCAUGAGCUAAGUAACAGUUUUUGGUUGCUAAUUCCAUAUUAAAUCACCAAGUAGUUUUUGUUAGGUUUCAUAGAACAGGGGAGCAUGAUUUUUGAGUCGCGACUCAAAAGUGAGUCGCCGAGGCUGCGACUCAGUGUAUAGUCGACCAAAGUCGCUGUAUAGUCGCGACUUGCCGUGAUUUUUGGAAAACGACUCGGCGACUGUACAUCGACUAUUCAACGACUAUACAGUGACUCAAAAACCAUUCAGGGGAGGUGUUUUCGGCUUCCAUUUAGAAUGUUUCAUACAACACAAGGAAGGUGUUUUCUGCUUCCAUGGUCUUCUAUAUUAAUUAAGUUGCUUUUGACAACAUGCACAAGUUGCCUUUAUCAUCUCACUUUUUUUUUGAACAAUCUUUUAUCAUCUCACUAAGUUGGUUCUAUCAUCUAAACUAAGUUGAGUACAGUCAGUGGUCCUAGUUAUGUUUUAAGUUGAUUUAUUGUAAGCAUGAUUUAAAUUGUCAACAAUGCCUCAUGUUUUCUAUUAAUGUGGCUAAGUUUUUGAGUUACACCAAAUGACUCUAAGUGGUAUACCUAUUUAAUUAACUUGCUGCUUUUCAUCCGGCUAAGUUUUUUCUUGGGCUAGAUAAGUUGUUUUACAUAACCUAACUAAGUUGCUUUUCCACCAUGCAUUUAAUUUUUUGAUUAAACAACCAAUAUCGUUCCUUAGCUUAAUAAUCUUAUAUUUACUAAUUGGAGGCACCAUAUAAAGCUCCACGUUAAUCCACAUCAUUAGAAUAAUUAAGACAAUUAGAUCUAGAAUAUAUGGUUAGGAUUAGUCGAGAAAGUUGUGAUUUUAAUGUUCCAUAAAAAGUAACGUAAACAUGUUGUCACGUAGGUUAAUCCUAGGGCGACCAAUUAAAUCGUCAUAUCUCCCUGUUUCCAACUACCGAUGGAAAGAAAACAAAAAGAUCCGCAAAAAAAAAAAACGAGCGUCGUCUUUCCUUAGGUUUGUCGAGGAAGUCAUCUGUAAAAAGAUGAUUUGGCGAGGAAGUCCAUCUAUCUAACUCCAUGACCUGCCUCUGAUUGACUCAGCCAUUGCAUGGUGAAUCAGCCGAUUCUGCUUCCUCAUGGCGUCUCUUGCCGCAUCAUUGGAUUUUUUUUUUUUGCGGGUACGCAUCAUUGGAUUUUACGUCUCCACAGGGCAGCAACAAAGGAAAUUUGCACCAUCAUCGUGUCAGAUUUGUGAAGCUUGCUUCCAUGGCGUUUGAAAUCGUCUCUCAAACAAGAUCCACUGAUGUCUCAGGGAUUAUCUCGCGGCCUCCAUCAGCGGUUGUGGCGAGAUGCGCUGUUCAUGAUGGAUUGUUAUUGAUGCAAGACGAGAUCGUGCAUGUACAUGCUCUGGACCAGGUUUCCGCGGCGUCCAACGGAUGGGCGGAUGGCAGUCAUGUUCGAGCUUGAGACGAGGCAGUAGAGAGCUUUGUUUUUCAGUAUUGAGCAAUACGAUGGGACCAAUUUCCAGAUUUUACCGAGCUUUGCCUGAUGUGAGAAAUAAGGUCUUACAAGGCUUGAAUUGCUGGAUCUUUUGAGUUUCUUUGCGAAGCCGUAAAUUUAUAUAUCAGAUGUCAAUACUAAAGAAGAUAUGUAUGACCGAGACACUGAGUGCGGGAAGGUUUGAGUGCGAAACUGCUGUGUAUACCAUGGAUGCCUAUCACACUUCUUUCCGAGAAGUAAAUUGUUUAACAACUUAGAUGCCAUCAUGUCCCAAGGGAAGCUACAGAAGCUGGUGCCACUGACAUGAUGAAUUAUUGUACUGAUUUGAUGAAUUACUGUGCCGAUUGCCGAAUCUAUGUACUGCAACAUGAUAUUUCACAUGGUAUUACUUUUACCCUC